UCACAUUAGUUCAACUUCAGCAUCAACCAUGUUCUCUGAGGCUCUGCUGCUGCUGACAGCUGCAUCCUGUGUUCUCAGUAUUGAUCUCACCCAGCCAGAGUCCAUGGUUGUGCAGCCUGGACAGUCUUUGUCCAUCACCUGUCAGGUCUCUGGUUAUUCUCUCACUGAUAGCAGCUAUGCAACAGGCUGGGUCCGACAGCGUGAAGGAAAACCGAUGGACUGGAUUUCUCAUCAGUGGGAUGGAGGGGGCUUUUACGGAAAUGAAGCUUUGAAGAGCAAGUUCAGCUACAGCAGAGACACGUCGGCUCAGACUGUGACCAUUCAGGGACAGAAUAUGCAGCCUGAAGACUCAGGAGUUUACUACUGUGUGCGUCUCCCCACAGUGACACAAAGCACCAACAGACCUGCACAAAAACAGGACAACACAUAA